UACGUAGGGGGCAAGCGUUACUCGGAAUUACUGGGCGUAAAGGGUGUGUAGGCGGCCGAGUGUGUCGGAGAUGAAAUCCCGAGGCUCAACUUCGGAAUGGUCUUCGAAACUGCUUGGCUUGAGGCUGGUUGAGGAGAGCGGAAUUCCCGGUGGAGCGGUGAAAUGCGUAGAUAUCGGGAGGAACACCAGAGGCGAAGGCGGUUCUCUAAACUAGUCCUGACGCUGAGACACGAAAGCUAGGGGAGCAAACGGG
rnacentral:rRNA from 1 species